CCCCCCGCAGCGCCAUGGUCGGCUCCGCGCACGCGCGGCCCCUCAGGCGGCCCCCUGGCGACGGCGGCGUGCGGGCGGGGCGUUGCCGGGGGCGCCCCCCCCGCCGCGCCCCCAUGGCCGCCGCCGCCCGCCCGCGCCAUGCAGCGGCCGCGCGGCCCCGCGGGUGACGGCGCCGGGCGGGGAGCGGCCCCCGGGGAGCGGCCCGGGCCCGGCCACGGCCACGGGCGGGCGCUGGAGGAGCCGGAGGAGCCGGCGGCGCUGAGGCGGGAGCGGCGCCGCCUCCUGCUGCGCCUGCUGCGGGCCGCCGGGCCCCGGCCCCUGCUGGGGCUGCUGCUGCGGGACCGGCGCCUGAGGCGCGGCGUCGCCGGGGAGCGGCGGGAGGCGCCGGGCGCCGGCCCCGCGGCGCUGCUCGGGCGGCCCGGGGAGGAGCCGGAGGGCGGCGGGGACGGGGCGCUGCGGGCCCUGCGGGCGCGGCUGGGCGGGGAGGCCGAGCCCGGGCUGCCGCCGCCCCCGCCCCUGCCCCCGGCCGGGCACGGCGCGGGAGCCGCCGCGGGCCGGCUGCUGGCGGGCAGCAGGGCCCGGAGCGCGCACGGCUGCUGCGGGCACCGCGCCGCGGACACCCCGCGGGCCGCCGAGCGGGGAGCGAGCCCGAGGAGAGUGCUGAGCGCCAGCAAGGGGAGGAACAAGCUGCCGUGGGACGGCCGGCGCGCCGCGGGCGAGGAGGGCGGCUCGGGAGGCGCGAUGCCCUCCGCCAAGGGCGUGCAGCAGUUCCCUCCGUCCAGUGACUUCCUUCAUUCUCCAAAGCUGAGGCUGUCUCAAGGAACACCAGGCAGUGAGGAGUUAUUUUUUAGUAGAAAAAGGCUGCCGAGGAGUUUGUUUCAGAACAGCGUAGAUUUUAACUCUGAGCAUUCUUCUGUUUGUGCCGGUGCUAUGGGCUCUCACCAGCCGCAUAUUUCAGGGAAAUGUGGAACACUUGGAUGCACACAGACACGUGGGAAGAGUGGUAGUGUGGACUCUGAUUUACAGUUUUUAGGAUUAAAUGACAGUCAGCAGGACAAAGGUAUAUGGAUUUUAACUGUCAUGUGUCAGUGCAUGUCACUUGGGAAACGUCUCUUCUGUGCUGCCUUAAGAAAUAAAAACAAUUAUCAAAAUGUUGUUCUGUCCCUACACAAACACGUUUCCCACAGUUAUUUCAGGAGUGAGAAACACUCCCCUCUGCAGCUGAAGCCCGCCUUGGUGAGACACCCAGCUUCCCGCAGAGGCCUGAAUGGGAUCAGACCCGUGCCCCCCAUACCGCGGCUCGCCAGCCCGCUGCCCGAUAAGAUCGAGUUAAGUGUGACAAAGUGGAAAAACGAGGAGUGUGAGGACACGUGGGUGAAUGGAGUGGGCAGGAAGCUUGCAGCUGAUCUUUCAGAGCUAACUCUUGAUGGCGAGGAAGUGGACCAAGAAGAGAUGCAAAGUUCACUUAGAUCUCUACGAAAUAGUGCAGCUAAGAAGAGGGCAAAGCUAACCAGCAACAUUUCAGAUCUUGAAAGUCCCGAUUCUGCUCUUAAACUCGACCUGUCUGGGGAUUCCCCUUCCCAUGCUUCCUCGCCAAGUGUGGGCUCCUGUAGCGAAAGCGGAGUCUACAGCCAGGAGUCUCUGACGUCUCCUAUAUCCACGGUUCCUCAGAGAAAGAGAAUAAUGUCAGACACCUUUCCACUGCUUGGCAAUAAAUCACAGCCUGCAAGAGUAUAUUCAGCAAGAAAUAGAGAUGCAAAUGUGGCAGAACAUAACUCAAGCACAGGUAUUUCACUGUGGACUUCUAAUGUUAGCAUAGUUGGCCAACGUCUGAACUGUGGCAAUGGAUGUGGAGAUUAUGAGGACAAGAAGCAAAAAGAAGGGUCACGAAGUAUUUUUAAAAGUCAAAAUAUGGAACAACAAAGAAAUUUUAAGCAUUCAAAAGUUUUUGCAGGGUCAACAUCUGGUUUUCAACAGAUGAAUAACCUAGAUUUCAUUUCGCCAAGUGUCUUGUCUGAAGAUGCGGUUGUAGUUGUUGGUAAAGGUGUUUUUGGAAGUCCUUCUUCUGCUCAAACACAAAGCCAGCCCAUAGCAUGUGCAGAGAAUGGAGACGACCAGUCUGUCAAACAGGAGACUGAGCCACCCUCAGGGAUCUGUAGGAGAAGCAUCCAGCAGAGCAGUGCUUCUCAUUUCCACGCUGAAAAUGAAAAAGAGAUAAAAGUGGCCUUGUCAAAAUCUGUCCAGGAUAAGAUGCGGCAGAAGAAAAAAGAAGGAAAAGAACAAAAUCACAAAGAACAUCAGGAAGUCAAAGACCUUGAAGAAAAGGAAGAAAAUUCUUGGGAAAGACUUAAACUAAAUGAACCAGAGAAAACAACAACAGAAAAUGAAAUUUCUCUUGGGCCACGAGGACGCUAUAAAGAGCGGACCCCAUCAGUCACUCAUAGUCCAGAAAUAAUGGAUCCGUCAGAACUGCAGCCCUUUUCAAAACCAGAAACGGCACUGACAGAAGCCCUGGUACUUUUAGCUGAUGAUGACUGGGAGAAGAAGAUUGAAGGUCUGAACUUUGUUAGAUGUUUGUCUGCCUACCAUGCAGCUAUUCUGACUGUAAAGCUUCAUGAAACAAGUCUGGCUGUGGCUCAAGAGGUCAAGAAUUUACGCUCAGGUGUUUCUCGAGCUGCUGUGGUCUGUUUAGGGGAUUUGUUCACCCACCUGAAAAAGAGCAUGGAUCAAGAACUAGAUAAUACAGUAAAAGUCCUUUUGCACAAAGCUGGUGAAUCCAACACAUUUAUAAGGGAAGAGGUAGACAAAGCACUGAAGGCUAUGGUUAAUAAUGUGACUCCAGCACGUGCACUUUGUUCUCUUAUAAAUGGAGGGCAAAGCCACCUGCACGCGGCGGUGAGGAGAUGCACAGCCCAGCACAUGUCGGAUAUUGUAGAGCGUAUGGGACCGGAGUGGAUGCUGGCUGGAACCAAAGUUGUCACUGAUAGGAUUUUCCCUGCAAUAGCCAGGUUUACACUGGAUAGUUCCCAGCAAACAAGGUAUUAUGGUCGAAAGAUGCUUUUCAGUAUGAUGAAUCAUCCUGAUUUUGAUAAAACACUUGAAAAAUAUGUGCCAGCCAAGGAUUUGCCUUACAUUAAGGAAUUUGUUAGCAAUCUACGUCAAAAGGGUUUGGGGGAGAUGCCAUUAGACACACCCUCAGCGAAAGGAAGACGUUCUCAUACUAGUAUUGUUGGGCAUUCAAGGUCAUCAUCUACUUCCAGAGAUGCUCUCAGCAUCACUGACAGAGAGACUACGGAAGCCCGUGAAGUUACAAGAAAAGCAGCUCCUCGUAAUUCAAUAGAAAGUGAAGAGUAUGUUAAAGACAUUAUAGGUUUAUUGAAUGCAAAAGACUUCCGUGAUCGAAUAAAUGGAAUUAAUCAGCUGUUAUCAGAUACAGAGAAGAAUCAAGACUUUGUUGUUGCAAACAUCGUGAAGAUCUUUGAUGCUUUCAAGCCUCGCUUACAUGACUCAAACAGUAAAGUAAAUCAGGUUGCUUUGGAGACAAUGUACAAGAUGAUUCCACUGCUGAAAGACAAUUUAUCUCCGGUGAUCAACAUGUUGGUUCCUGCAAUGGUAGACAACAACCUAAACUCCAAAAAUCCAGGGAUUUAUGCAGCUGCCACAAAUGUUAUUCAGGCUCUAUGUCAACACUUAGACAACUAUUUGCUUCUCCAGCCAUUCUGCACAAAAGCCCAGUUUCUGCAUGGAAAAGCAAAACAAGACAUCACAGAAAAGCUUGCUGAUCUGGUGGCGGAGCUGUACCCGCGGAAGCCGCAGGCCGUGGAGCAGAAGGUCCUGGCCGUGCUCUGGCACCUGCUGGGCACGGCGAGCAGCGGCGGCCCCGCACCGGGGGCCGGGGGCAGCAUCCGGGCGGCCACGGCCAAGCUGUCCCGGGCCCUGUUCGCGCAGAUGGGCCCCGGGCUGCUGGCACGCGCCGCCGCGCAGCCCCCGCACGUCAGGAGGAGCCUGGAGGAGUUCCUGGAGCUGCCGGCCUGA
ensembl:lncRNA